CUUCAUAAAGAAGGACUCUUUCACUUCUUAACAUAAAUAAGGGUGAGCGGCAUUUACUUUUGGGCAUGGAACCUGGUGGGUGUGGAGGUCUCCUUCUACACUUGAAACACUUCCAAGUUGGAUAAGAUUCCAAUUAAAAUAGAUCCAAUCCAAUUAGGUCAAAGACAACAGGUCUAGUUUAUCUUAAACAUUUUGAACUUAACCUAAUUAGGAACUUGGGUUAACAUAAUGUGCUAGCAUAUCAAAUUAACCCUUAGGAUUGACAUUAAAUCUUAAUUAAAUCAGACCA
rnacentral:lncRNA from 1 species